rnacentral:snoRNA from 1 species
GCAUGGCUGAAUUCUGUACCAGCUGGUCUGUGGUGGAUACAGUCAGACACCGUGCAAAAGCAUCAUCUCAUUUCUGCUAAAUAUGUGGAUGAGUGCUACCAAGAGCCUCAUCCAAAUGUGUAGAAAUGAGUACAACA